GAUGAACGCUGGCGGCGUGCCUAAUACAUGCAAGUCGAGCGAACAGAUGAGGAGCUUGCUCCUCUGACGUUAGCGGCGGACGGGUGAGUAACACGUGGAUAACCUACCUAUAAGACUGGGAUAACUUCGGGAAACCGGAGCUAAUACCGGAUAAUAUAUUGAACCGCAUGGUUCAAUAGUGAAAGACGGUUUUGCUGUCACUUAUAGAUGGAUCCGCGCGGCAUUAGCUAGUUGGUAAGGUAACGGCUUACCAAGGCAACGAUGCGUAGCCGACCUGAGAGGGUGAUCGGCCACACUGGAACUGAGACACGGUCCAGACUCCUACGGGAGGCAGCAGUAGGGAAUCUUCCGCAAUGGGCGAAAGCCUGACGGAGCAACGCCGCGUGAGUGAUGAAGGUCUUCGGAUCGUAAAACUCUGUUAUUAGGGAAGAACAAAUGUGUAAGUAACUAUGCACGUCUUGACGGUACCUAAUCAGAAAGCCACGGCUAACUACGUG
rnacentral:rRNA from 1 species